UACGUAGGUGACAAGCGUUGUCCGGAUUUACUGGGCGUAAAGAGCGCGCAGGCGGUCGAUCAAGUCGAGUGUGAAAGCCCCCGGCUCAACUGGGGAGGGUCAUUCGAUACUGAUCGACUCGAAGGCAGGAGAGGGUAGUGGAAUUCCCGGUGUAGUGGUGAAAUGCGUAGAUAUCGGGAGGAACACCAGUGGCGAAGGCGACUGCCUGGACCAGCACUGACACUGAGGCACGAAAGCGUGGGGAGCAAACAGG
rnacentral:rRNA from 1 species